rnacentral:rRNA from 1 species
AGUGAAUAGAUACCCUGGUAGUCCUAGCCGUAAACGAUACUCGCUAGGUGUCGGCCACGGUGCGACCGUUGUCGGUGCCGUAGGGAAAGCCGUGAAGCGAGCCACCUGGGAAGUACGGCCGCAAGGCUGAAACUUAAAGGAAUUGGCGGGGGAGCACCACAACGGGUGGAGCUUGCGGUUUAAAUUGGAUUCAACGCCGGAAAUCUUACCGGGACCGACAGCAAUAUGAAGGCCAGGCUGAAGACUUUGCCGGAUUAGCUGAGAGGUGGUGCAUGGCCGUCGUCAGUUCGUACUGUGAAGCAUCCUGUUAAGUCAGGCAACGAGCGAGACCCACGCCCACAGUUGCCAGCGUACUCUCCGGAGUGACGGGUACACUGUGGGGACCGCCGCUGCUAAAGCGGAGGAAGGAAUGGGCAACGGUAGGUCAGUAUGCCCCGAAUAUCCCGGGCUACACGCGAGCUACAAUGGUUGGUACAAUGGGUAUCUACCCCGAAAGGGGAUGGAAAUCUCCUAAAGCCAAUCUUAGUUCGGAUUGAGGGCUGCAACUCGCCCUC